rnacentral:lncRNA from 1 species
UGUUGGUGGAGGUGCCCAGCUGUCUAUGCCAAGCAUGAAUGCACGGGUCAGGUGAUGUAUCCCUGUAGAGAGCAUGUACCUAUGGACUAGGCUGCCUGGGCCAGGUGAGAGUGUACCUGUGGACAGGUGUGUCUGUGCCGGGUAAUGAUGUACCUGUGAUGGAACAGAUUGAUCUAGGCUGGGGGAUAGAUACCUGUGGGCAGGUGUGCCUGGGCUAGGUGAGGAUAUACCUGUGAUGGAACAGAUGGAUCUAGGCUGGGGG